GGCUAGCACCAAGUCUACCACCCUACUUCCAUGAAAACGAAAAGCUGGUAUUAUGAGGAAAGUAUGCUAACUCAGUGCCUAAAUACUUAGAUUAAAAAGUUUUACCUUCAUAAAAUCUUGUAAUCAAAAGAAUUCAAUUCUUACGAUGGUAAAAAUCUGGCCUUGUGAAAAUGGUAAAUCACAUCAAUGCCGUUGAGUAACAAAACCACAAGUAAAAGAACGAAAAUGGUCACCUCCUGUGCAAUAACAAUGCUAGAAAUUAUCAAAGGUGAAGUGAGUGGCCUAUUGUCCAGCGCUCCAAAGUUACAAAACAUGUCAACAUACAAAAAGUGUCAACUCUUUCCUUUUCCCAUUAGCUGAUGAACGGGUCUUCAUGAGCAAGUUAUGCAAAUUUACAGAUAUGCUUGCUUACA
rnacentral:misc_RNA from 1 species